rnacentral:rRNA from 1 species
AUUGAACGCUGGCGGCGUGCUUAACACAUGCAAGUCGAUCGGUAACAGGUGUAGCAAUACAUGCUGACGAGAGGCGGACGGGUGAGUAAUGCUUGGGAAUCUGCCUAUUAGUGGGGGACAACCCGGGGAAACUCGGGCUAAUACCGCAUACGCUCUACGGAGGAAAGCCGGGGACCGCAAGGCCUGGCGCUAAUAGAUGAGCCCAAGUCGGAUUAGCUAGUUGGUAGGGAACGGCCUACCAAGGCGACAAUCCGUAGCUGGUCUGAGAGGACGACCAGCCACACCGGAACUGAGACACGGUCCGGACUCCUACGGGAGGCAGCAGUGGGGAAUAUUGGACAAUGGGGGCAACCCUGAUCCAGCGACGCCGCGUGGGUGAAGAAGGCCUGCGGGUUGUAAGCCCUUUCGGUGGGGAGAAAAGUCUCGACCUAAUACGUCGGGACCUUGACGUAACCCACUAAAGAAGCACCGGCUAACUCUGUGCCAGCA